AUUGUAUCAUAAUUUGAUUGGAAACAUUUUUCUUUUUUAGUUACACAGAAAAUGUACUUCAGAGAGUCAAUGACAUUUUAGAUUUGAUGAAAUACAGUAAAUUAGAAUCUCUAGAGGGUGUAGCCCAGGGCAAAAGUAUGGUUUAAAGUGUCUGAUGUGAGUCUAAUGCAUACUGCAAGUCAGAAUGCUCUAUAUUAGGGUGACUUUGAUGAAGGAGAAAUUAACAAGGGACCACUUUUGCAUCUACCUUUGAAUCCUCAGCACAGUGCCUGGUCCGUUGUAGAUAACCAGUCCUUAUCUGCUGAACCAGAUGGAAUUAUUUGGGGCCUUAGAGAAGCCGUCAAAAUUGAAAUGAUCUAGUAACUGUCCUUAAAGACGUGGGAAUUUUCCAGAGCGGCACACCUCCAGGGGGCACCAUCCGCACUGUAGUAUCUGAACAGUGCCCAGCCUACACAGCUCUACAGCACAGAUGCCACUGAGGGCUGAGUGUUGGCAGGAGUAUUGGCUUUGGAGCAAAGCGUAUUAUGGAUGAUCAGCUCUCUCGGAUGAAAGUAGAAGAGACGGUAGACCAAGUCCUAAACAGUGACACCCAAGUCAUUCUCUUCAAGUGGGAAGGUCAGGUGGCCCUCCUUCAUCUUACAGACAUACUAGAUCCUCAUCCACCAUCCUCAGACUUCCUGCAGAAUAGGGCUGGGACCAGGAUGAGGAGGAAGACCACAGAGGUGAGGUACCAUUUUCCUCACGUCGUAUCAAGUGUACACACCAUCAACGUGAGUUAUUGCUGUGGAUGUUGACUGUGAUCCCUACACCAAAGCAGUAUUUGUUACCCUCUUCCCAUCUUCCCAUACUGGACUCUUUGGAAACAGUAAUGAAGUGUAGCUUGCACCUAGGUAGUAGAGAGUAGCUACAUAAGUUAUUUGGAAUUCUUUUGACUGGGAGGCCUGACUUUUUUUUCCCAUUUAUUUUAUUUUUUUGUUUUAUUUUAAGUUGACAAAUAAUAAUGGUAUGAAAUGAUUAAAUCUGGGUAAUUAGCAUAGCCACCUGAACUAUUUAUCAUUUCUUUGUUGUGAUAACAUUUAAAAUCCUCUUUUAGCUAUUUAGAAAUAUGCAAUGCACUCUUAUUAACUAUAAUCAUCUUGCUGUGCAACAGAACAGAACUGAUUCCUCCUAUCUAACUGUAACUUUGUUCCCAUUGAUCAAUGUCUCCCCUUUCUCUGUACACCCCUGCACUCACCAGACUCUGGUAACCAUCAUUCUAUGCUCUACUUCCAUGAGUUUAACUUUUGUAGAUUCCAUAUAUAAGUGAGACCAUACACUAUUUGUCUCUUUAUACUGGGCUUAUUUUACUCAGUGUAAUAUCCUCUAGGUUCAUUCAGGUUGUCAAAUGACAAAAUUUUCUGUGUAUUUUAAGGCUGAAUAAUAUUCAUGGUAUGUAGAUAUCACAUUAAAAAUUUCAUCUGUUG
rnacentral:lncRNA from 1 species